UUGGAGACUGCCUCCUUGGGGAGUUUUUAGUGAGACCUGAUCCUCAGAAAGAGGAAGUCUGGAAGCACCAAUGGCACCAGACUUGUUCCUUCUCACUCGUCACCACUUCGUGUGAGUUCAGGGAAUGUGCAGGUGGACGUAAAAUCAAGCUUGCCAACUCCUUGAUGGCUUGAAUCUCCAGUGCUAGGAGGAGUAAAUAAUAACAGAGCACCGCAUUCCCGGGCAAUACACAGUCCAGCAUGAGAGGAGAAUCAGACCUUCAGCUGAGCAGCCCCUACCUGCACCCCCUGCUUUGGACCAGACCUCCAUGCUGUCCUCUGCAAAAGACACCACCAGGAUGGCAGCAGUGUCGUUGAGGAGCAGUGUAAGCCUGUAAUGCAUAUCCUGAUGUUACUGAGUUGCACUGACAAGAAGAAAGCCAAGUCCCACAGUAAAAAGGGCUGUUCCUGAGCCAUCACCAGAGUCCACCAUUCUGACAUUAGCCACAUCCAAAGAGAAAACGUAGGAGCACUUCUUAGUGUCUUUGGACUCUUUAAAACAAAUGUCUUAUAAUUGUUACCGUGACAGUACUUGAAGGAAUCACUCAGGACAGAUGGAAAUGUUGUUGCUUCUAAUACAGAAGAGGAUCACACAGUCCAGACCAAAGUUCCAACUGGACCAGUACCCUCUCUCUAGACCAGGUGUCUCUUUACCCACUGC